GUUUCACACCUUCAUUGUUUUCCAGUCCAACUCUGUCACGUGUGAUUUUUAUCAUUUCCGUUUGACUUGUUGCCAUUGCACUUGUUCUUUUUCCACUUUGAGUUGUUCUUGUUCCUGCCCAGCUAUUUGUCACCCCUUUUUACCCAAAGUAACCUUUUGUAGUUCCUGUCUGACCCGUUCUUGUUCCUGUUGCAGGUUAUUCCAGGUGAUCGUGCGCAUCGACGACACUCUCGCCUUGCUUAACCUUGCUUGCAUGAUGCUGAUCACCUUGCUGCCGUACACGUUUUCGCUGAUGGCGAACUUUCCAGCACACGUUCUGGGAAUUCUUCUGUUCUGCGGCUGUGUGAUGGUCAUCGGUCUCAUUCAGGUCUGGUGUUAGCAUGAGCAU